GGGGGGGGAGGGCGCUAAAUGCAGUCGAAGCAGUANCAUACUGAGUGGCAAACGGGUGAGUAUAAUGUGGGAAUCUGCCUUUUGGUUUGGAAUAACACGGGGAAACUUGUGCUAAUACCGAAUAAGCCCUUACGGGGAAAGUUUUAACGCCGAAAGAUGAGCCUGCACUUGAUUAGCUAGUUGGUAAGGUAAAAGCUUACCAAGGCAACGAUCAAUAGCUGUUCUUAGAGGAAGACCAGCCACAUUGGGACUGAGACACGGCCCAGACUCCUACGGGAGGCAGCAGUGGGGAAUCUUGCACAAUGGGGGAAACCCUGAUGCAGCGAUGCCGCGUGAGUGAAGAAGGCCCUUGGGUUGUAAAACUCUUUCGUCGGGGAAGAAAAUGACUGUACCCGAAUAAGAAGGUCCGGCUAACUUCGUGCCAGCAGCCGCGGUAAUACGAAGGGACCUAGCGUAGUUCGGAAUUACUGGGCUUAAAGAGCUCGUAGGUGGUUAAAAAAGUUGAUGGUGAAAUCCCAAGGCUCAACCUUGGAACUGCCAUCAAAACUUUUUAGCUAGAGUGUGAUAGAGGUAAGUGGAAUUUCUAGUGUAGAGGUGAAAUUCGUAGAUAUUAGAAAGAACACCAAAUGCGAAGGCAACUUACUGGGUCACUACUGACACUGAGGAGCGAAAGCAUGGGUAGCGAAGAGGAUUAGAUACCCUCGUAGUCCAUGCCGUAAACGAUGUGUGCUAGACGUUGGAAAUAUAUUUUUCAGUGUCGCAGCGAAAGCAUUAAGCACACCGCCUGGAGAGUACGACCGCAAGGUUAAAACUCAAAUGAAUUGACGGGGACCCGCACAAGCAG
rnacentral:rRNA from 1 species